GACACAUCAGGGCACACCCGAGCGAAAGCCGGGGUCGCAAAGCCUCCGGUCUACCGUCCGGCGCUCGUCAUACAGGGCGCGGAUCAAGAUAGCGGGGUUGCCAGA
rnacentral:ncRNA from 1 species